rnacentral:rRNA from 1 species
AACGCGAAGAACCUUACCCAGGCUCGAAAUACAGGUGACAACCCUUGAAAGAGGGCUUUUCGCAAGGACAGCUGUAUAGGUGCUGCAUGGCUGUCGUCAGCUCGUGCCGUGAGGUGUUGGGUUAAGUCCCGCAACGAGCGCAACCCUUAUCGUUAGUUGCCAACACGCAAGGUGGGGACUCUAACGAGACUGCCUAGGUUAACUAGGAGGAAGGCGAGGAUGACGUCAAGUCCGCAUGGCCUUUAUGUCUGGGGCUACACACGUGCUACAAUGGUCGGUACAGAAGGCAGCAAGACCGCGAGGUGGAGCAAAUCCUAUAAAACCGGCCUCAGUUCAGAUUGGAGUCUGCAACUCGACUCCAUGAAGUUGGAAUUGCUAGUAAUGACGUGUCAGCAACAACGUCGUGAAUACGUUCCCGGGCCUUGUACACACCGGUACUA